UACGUAGGGACCAAGCGUUGUCCGGAAUCAUUGGGCGUAAAGAGCGUGUAGGCGGCUUGUUAAGUCUUGCGUGAAAUCUCGGGGGCUCAACCCCCGAGCGGUCGUGAGAAACUGGCAGGCUAGAGUGCGGGAGAGGAGAGUGGAAUUCCUGGUGUAGCGGUGAAAAUGCGCAGAUAUCAGGAAGAACACCCCGUGGCGAAGGCGGCUCUCUGGAAACGCAACUGACGCUGAGACGCGAAAAACUGGGGGGAGCAAAACAGGG
rnacentral:rRNA from 1 species